rnacentral:rRNA from 1 species
ACACUCCUGCGGGAGGCAGCAGUGGGGAAUAUUGGACAAUGGGCGCAAGCCUGAUCCAGCCAUGCCGCGUGAGUGAUGAAGGCCCUAGGGUUGUAAAGCUCUUUCACCGGAGAAGAUAAUGACGGUAUCCGGAGAAGAAGCCCCGGCUAACUUCGUGCCAGCAGCCGCGGUAAUACGAAGGGGGCUAGCGUUGUUCGGAAUUACUGGGCGUAAAGCGCACGUAGGCGGAUCGAUCAGUCAGGGGUGAAAUCCCAGGGCUCAACCCUGGAACUGCCUUUGAUACUGUCGAUCUGGAGUAUGGAAGAGGUGAGUGGAAUUCCGAGUGUAGAGGUGAAAUUCGUAGAUAUUCGGAGGAACACCAGUGGCGAAGGCGGCUCACUGGUCCAUUACUGACGCUGAGGUGCGAAAGCGUGGGGAGCAAACAGGAUUAGAUACCCCAGUAGUCCCAUGAU